rnacentral:lncRNA from 1 species
AUGAGUGUGCAGCAAAUACAGGGAACAGCCGUGAAGUUUGUAGAGCCGAGCGAGCUGGAGGCCACAUAUGUCGUCACCUGCGAGGAUGUUCUCAAUGGAACUCCUCGGAGCUGCUCCUUCCUUCUUUCCUCCCUCCCUUCCUCCCUUCCUCCCUCCCUCCCACUUCCUUCCUUCCUUCCUCCCUCUUCCUCCAUCCCUCCUUCCUUCCUUCCUUCCUUCCUUCCUCCCUCUUCCUCCCUCCCUCCUUCCUUCCUUCCUUCCUUCCUUCCUCCCUCCUUCCUUCCUUCCUCCAUCCAUCCCUCUUCCUUCCUCCCUCCCUCCCACUUCUUUCCUUCUUUCCUUCCGUCCUUCCUUCCUUCCUUCCUCCCUCCCUCCCUCCCUCCCACUUCCUUCUUUCCUUCCUUCCUCCCUCCCUCCCUGUCUCUUCCUUCCUUCCUCCAUCCAUCCCUCUUCCUUCCUUCCUUCCUUCCUUCCUCCCUCCCUCCUUCCUUCCUUCCUCCAUCCAUGCCUCUUCCUCCCUCCCUCCCUCUCUCUUCCUUCCUUCCUCCCUCCCACUUCCUUCCUUCCUUCCUCCCUCUUCCUCCAUCCCUCCUUCGUCCUUCCUUCCUUCCUUCCUUCCUUCCUUCCUCCCUCUUCCUCCCUCCCUCCUUCCUUCCUUCCUUCCUUCCUUCCUCCCUCCUUCCUUCCUUCCUUCCUUCCUUCCUCCAUCCAUCCCUCUUCCUUCCUCCCUCCCUCCCACUUCUUUCCUUCCUUCCCUCCCUCCUUCCUUCCUUCCUUCCUUCCUUCCUUCCUCCCUCCCACUUCCUUCUUUCCUUCCUUCCUCCCUCCCUCCCUGUCUCUUCCUUCCUUCCUCCAUCCAUCCCUCUUCCUUCCUUCCUUCCUUCCUUCCUUCCUCCCUCCCUCCCUCCCACUUCCUUCCUUCCUCCCUCCCACUUCCUUCCUUCCUUCCUCCCUCUUCCUCCCUCCCUCCUUCCUUCCUUCCUUCCUUCCUUCCUCCCUCCCUCCUUCCUUCCUUCCUUCCUUCCUUCCUUCCUCCAUCCAUCCCUCUUCCUUCCUCCCUCCCUCCCACUUCUUUCCUUCCUUCCUUCCUUCCUUCCUCCCUCCCACUUCCUUCUUUCCUUCCUUCCUCCCUCCCUCCCUGUCUCUUCCUUCCUUCCUCCAUCCCUCUUCCUUCCUUCCUUCCUCCAUCCAUCCCUCUUCCUUCCUUCCUUCCUUCCUUCCUCCCUCCCUCCCUCCUUCCUUCCUUCCUUCCUUCCUUCCUUACUUCCUCGGUCGUGUCUCAGCGAGCCACUGCACGAAGGGGCAACGUGGCUAAAUGGCCGGAACGACUUGUGCCGAAGCGUGUGUCCCUGA